rnacentral:rRNA from 1 species
UAUCUCUGAAUCUGCGAACGGCUCCGCACACCAGUUGUAAACCAAAGCAGUAUCGCCCCGGGUCGGGGUUUACCCUGGGCCCGGUGCGAUAUGGAUAACCGUGGCAAUCCUGAGGCUAAUACAUGACAAAAAAGCCUGACCCCCCUGCCGGCUUUUGCCGGUGGUUGGGGGGAGGGAAGCGUGCGGCGCGUCGAGCUUGAACUGGAUCAGGAAAGAAAGCACGCUCAGACCACCGUGAAGGGUAAGGGAUAGUCUCAAUCCUGGUGGCGCCUGCGGCUUGCUUCUGACCUAUCAACUAGACGGCAGCUUAAGGGACAUGCACUGGUAACAACGGGUACAGAGGAUAAGGGUUCGAUCCUGGAGAGUGGGCCUGAGAGAUU